rnacentral:lncRNA from 1 species
GUUUUCUUCAUUCUAAUUCACAUUAUAAUUAUUUAACCUUCAAUUCACAUUAAAAGAUAAAAAAAAUUCAGCUCUCGUUUAGAAUAUUUUGCAACUAAAUUAUAAUCCUUUAGAAUUUGGUGUAAACAAAAAACAAGAGAACCUGCAAGCAGAGUCUAUUUCUAUAAAGCCGAUAGUUUUUUUAUAUCUGAAAAGAAAACUAACACGUAAAAAAAAGGCCGAAAGUAACCCCUAAAUUUCAACAUUAACAUAUUUUUGACAAUUGAAUCAAGAUGCACAAAGUUUAAGCAUUGGUCAGAAUAUAGGGUUCUUUUGUACUUUAACAAUAUCACAAUAACAAUAAAGUGACCUUAAUUUUGGACAAGGUAAAUGGCAUAAAGCCAAUUUUACCAACUUCUUUUGUAUGAAUGGGAUAAACUGACCUUUCAAUUCUCA